CGGUGGGUCAGUCUGUUGGCGCUUUGCGUUUAUUUUGUUCCCUCUUUUGCCUGUGUAGAGGUGGCGCGUCCGCCGCCCCUGCUGCUGGGGUGUCGUUCGGAGGUCUUUCGAGGCGUUUGGCUUCGGGAGUUUCGGUGUGCGCGCCUGUCUGGCAGCUCUCACGUCUUUGGCCCUCUUGUGGCUCGGCACGAAGUGCCGUGGUGGUUCAGUAUUUCAACCGUUAGAGGGGGUAUCUUCUCCUUUGGCAUUUGUCUCUGACGCAACAACUUAUGCGAGCUUGCGUUAAGUAAGAGGGUUAGUUGGGAGUUGGGAGUAAGUUGGGCGUAAGGCCCAGUGCUGCCCGUGUCCUCAGGGCAGUAAUUCAUUGCGCGCAUUGCACUAAUAAGAUUAUCUUGAAUUUGUUGUUUAGCGCGUAAGCAUUGCUUAUACUCACGCUGAUCCUCCAAUGACGACAGUGUAAGGUAAAGCCUAAUGAAUUAGCAUCUUCAUAACAAGAAUCUGUCUUUCUUCCUCUAUAAUGGCGCAGCAUUCAUUCGCAGGCAAGCAGGGGAAAGCAGGAAAAGGGGGACUAGACGGCACCGGCAGUAAGUGGCCAUCAUGCAGGUGCAUACACUGACAUUAUGCCUUGUCAUUUUACAUUCCAAGGACACGAGCAGGAGAAUCGCAAGGAAUAGGACAAGCGCAAGGAUGGUGGUAAGGAUAUGAACAAGAGUCGGGCUCAAACGGGACGUGGCAUGCCACGUAGCGGCCGUUCGGAGGUAUGAAGCCUCUGGUUGCACGACCAUGGCUAUUAACUAAAUGCUUUUUAUUGCCUUAUUUCGAGGCACGUUAUGCCGGUGUCACACCUACAGCCGUCAUUGUACGUAACAUGCUCACAACUAUGUGUUCCUGCCUAAACAAUGAUUUGCUGUGAUCCUUUCAUAUGCAGAUUUAUGCCGUCGUUCGUGAAGAUGACAUCAGCGGAGGCGAGGAUUGAGCGCUUUAAUAAGAAGACAAUAGUGGCUGUAUUGUGGUACAUUUACAUGCGCUUAACAUUUGUGUGUCGAUUUUUUCUGACGUUAGACUGUUGGACCCUUUUCCAUGGUAAGAGUUGCUGGCUGAGUUGCAUCGGUCAUGUUAGGAUUUGCUAUGAAUUCGUACCUGUCAUUCAGGGAUAGUUCAAAUGUAUGAAGAAAGCAGUGAGUGCUGUGGUUCACAGCUGUGAACCUGCAGGUCAUGUGCAACGGCGGUGCACUUUGCACAUUGUACAGCUCGUGUACUGCUAUUGUAAAGCUUUUGUAUUGCACGGUUGGCCGUACAGUUCG
rnacentral:lncRNA from 1 species